GACGAACGCUGGCGGCGUGCUUAACACAUGCAAGUCGAACGGAAAGGCCCUGCUUUUGUGGGGUGCUCGAGUGGCGAACGGGUGAGUAACACGUGAGUAACCUGCCCUUGACUUUGGGAUAACUUCAGGAAACUGGGGCUAAUACCGGAUAGGAGCUCCUGCUGCAUGGUGGGGGUUGGAAAGUUUCGGCGGUUGGGGAUGGACUCGCGGCUUAUCAGCUUGUUGGUGGGGUAGUGGCUUACCAAGGCUUUGACGGGUAGCCGGCCUGAGAGGGUGACCGGACACAUUGGGACUGAGAUACGGCCCAGACUCGUACGGGAGGCAGCAGUGGGGAAUAUUGCACAAUGGGCGGAAGCCUGAUGCAGCAACGCCGCGUGCGGGAUGACGGCCUUCGGGUUGUAAACCGCUUUCGCCUGUGACGAAGCGUGAGUGACGGUAAUGGGUAAAGAAGCACCGGCUAACUACGUG
rnacentral:rRNA from 1 species